UUCAUCUCUGCUCCUGAAUCUUCUGACAAAGCAGGAUAUUAUAUUAGAACCAUGUACAACAUCUUGAUGAGAAGCUGAAGGUCAGCAAAGAGUUUAGGCAGAAGAUGGUGGCUGUGAUGUGAAAGAGUGUGUGGAGGAUCAUGGCACACAAUCUCCCAUGAUAUUUCAAAGACCAUGAACUGGAGGGGAAUCAAUGGAAAGGCGCCCUUCUGCCAACUGCAGCUCAACGAUAGAGUUAAUGUUCUACUGUUGGCAAAGUCCUUCAUGAACACUAGAAAGCAUAGAAAGAAACAUCUAAAUAAACCAAUGAUUCUUUAUUCCCCAAUUUUCAUUUUAAGCUGCGGUGAGGAGAAACCGGCUCAGGUCUGAUGCAACUGACAAAGUGGAAAAAGAUGGCUAAACCUUUCAGGGUAUCGUAAUUGGUGGUCGCAAGGAAAGAACACAAAGAAGGAAGUGGUUCGAAAAUAUUUAGAUCCUCUUGGUGGGGUUCUGAUGAAAUACACCAGAGGAUAAAAAAUGUUUGUGUCAAUAUUACAGCAUAAACCUUGCAUUUGGAAUGGGGGGGAUCGAGCUCAUAUUUAGAUUUUAUUUAUACCAAGUGAUCAGAUGAUGAUGAUAAGUGGUCAAUUUUCAUUACAACUAUGUUGCCAUUAAGCCAGACAUCAUCAAUGUUGCUUUCUUAGAGUCUAGUUUAUGCCACAAUGUUUUCAGUGUUCGAAUGUGGCCCUGUUGAUAUGGCUUGUUUUAAUUUGAAAGUCAUGUUUCUAUAUUGUCUUUACAAGGCUCAUUUGGGCAAAAAUAAUUUGAGAUGUGAGCUUGUUUUAAAACAAUAUGUGUAACAAUGUUACCAAUGUUGCUACUGCAGAACUUUAAUGUUAUGUAUCAAUGCACUUGUAUGUUAUGAUGUAUGAUUAAGUUAGCAUACACAAAUUAGAUUUUAGUACAAUACAGUAGGGUACAAUAGAGUACAGUAUACAUUAUUGUAUUCUAAUUUAAUGUACUUUAUUGUGCUAACUGUACUAUAAUAAAAUACAAUUUCAGUA